CCUACGGGGGGCAGCAGUGGGGAAUAUUGCACAAUGGGGGGAACCCUGAUGCAGCGACGCCGCGUGAGUGAAGAAGUAUUUCGGUAUGUAAAGCUCUAUCAGCAGGGAAGAAAAUGACGGUACCUGACUAAGAAGCCCCGGCUAACUACGUGCCAGCAGCCGCGGUAAUACGUAGGGGGCAAGCGUUAUCCGGAUUUACUGGGGGUAAAGGGAGCGUAGACGGUUAUGCAAGUCUGAAGUGAAAGCACAAGGCUCAACCAUGGGACUGCUUUGGAAACUGUAAUACUGGAGUGCAGGAGAGGUAAGCGGAAUGCCUAGUGUAGCGGUGAAAUGCGUAGAUAUUAGGAGGAACACCAGUGGCGAAGGCGGCUUACUGGACUGUAACUGACGUUGAGGCUCGAAGGCGUGGGGAGCGAACAGGAUUAGAUACCCGUGUAGUC
rnacentral:rRNA from 1 species